AUACUUACAUGGACGGGGUCAAUGGGCGAUCAUGAAGGCCCAUGGCCUUAGGUUGGUGACCUCCAUUGCACUUUGGAGGGGUGCCUGCCUAGGUCGGCCCAACUGGUUGAGCCUACGUCAUAAUUUGUGGUAACGGGGCCUGCGUUCACGCGGACCCAAC
rnacentral:snRNA from 1 species